AAAGACUUAAGUUAACAAAACUAAAAGCCUUCAAAGCUUAAAAUAUCUUCAUCUGAGAUAGCCUUUA
rnacentral:tRNA from 1 species